rnacentral:rRNA from 1 species
ACGCUGGCGGCGUGCCUAAUACAUGCAAGUCGAACGGUCUUUUCUAUGGAAGCUUGCUUCCACUGAGAAGAUAGUGGCGAACGGGUGAGUAACACGUGGGUAACCUGCCCAUAAGAGGGGGAUAACAUCCGGAAACGGGUGCUAAUACCGCAUAGUUUUCUUGAUCGCAUGAUUGAGAAAGGAAAGACGGCCUUUGUGCUGUCGCUUAUGGAUGGACCCGCGGCGUAUUAGUUAGUUGGUGAGGUAACGGCUCACCAAGACGAUGAUACGUAGCCGACCUGAGAGGGUGAUCGGCCACAUUGGGACUGAGACACGGCCCAAACUCCUACGGGAGGCAGCAGUAGGGAAUCUUCCGCAAUGGACGAAAGUCUGACGGAGCAACGCCGCGUGAGUGAAGAAAAGGUUUUCGGAUCGUAAAACUCUGUUGUCAGAGAAGAACAAGUUGGAGAGUAACUGCUCCAGCCUUGACGGUAUCUGACCAGAAAGCCACGGCUAACUACGUGCCAGCCGCUGC